rnacentral:misc_RNA from 1 species
AACAGAGGAAGAAGAGAGAGG